UUCUGGCAUCAUACUGACACUGAGGUUCGAAAGCGUGGGUAGCAAACAGGAUUAGAUACCCUGGUAGUCCACGCCGUAAACGAUGUCUACUAGUCGUUGGGUCCCUUGAGGACUUAGUGACGCAGCUAACGCAAUAAGUAGACCGCCUGGGGAGUACGGCCGCAAGGUUAAAACUCAAAUGAAUUGACGGGGGCCCGCACNAGCGGUGGAGCAUGUGGUUUAAUUCGAUGCAACGCGAAGAACCUUACCUGGUCUUGACAUAUCUAGAAUCCUGCAGAGAUGCGGGAGUGCCUUCGGGAAUUAGAAUACAGGUGCUGCAUGGCUGUCGUCAGCUCGUGUCGUGAGAUGUUGGGUUAAGUCCCGCAACGAGCGCAACCCUUGUCCUUAGUUACCAGCGGUUUGGCCGGGAACUCUAAGGAUACUGCCAGUGACAAACUGGAGGAAGGCGGGGACGACGUCAAGUCAUCAUGGCCCUUACGACCAGGGCUACACACGUGCUACAAUGGUAGGUACAGAGGGCAGCUACACAGCGAUGUGAUGCGAAUCUCAAAAAGCCUAUCGUAGUCCAGAUUGGAGUCUGCAACUCGACUCCAUGAAGUAGGAAUCGCUAGUAAUCGCGGAUCAGAAUGCCGCGGUGAAUACGUUCCCGGGCCUUGUACACACCGCCCGUCACACCAUGGGAGUUGAUUGCACCAGAAGUGGGUAGCCUA
rnacentral:rRNA from 1 species